rnacentral:rRNA from 1 species
GACGAACGCUGGCGGCGUGCUUAACACAUGCAAGUCGAGCGGAAAGGCCCUUCGGGGUACUCGAGCGGCGAACGGGUGAGUAACACGUGAGUAACCUGCCCCAGACUUUGGGAUAACCCUCGGAAACGGGGGCUAAUACCGGAUACGACACAGCUUCGCAUGGGGUCUGUGUGGAAAGUUUUUCGGUGUGGGAUGGGCUCGCGGCCUAUCAGCUUGUUGGUGGGGUGAUGGCCUACCAAGGCGACGACGGGUAGCCGGCCUGAGAGGGCGACCGGCCACAAUGGGACUGAGACACGGCCCAGACUCCUACGGGAGGCAGCAGUGGGGAAUAUUGCACAAUGGGCGGAAGCCUGAUGCAGCGACGCCGCGUGGGGGAUGACGGCCUUCGGGUUGUAAACCUCUUUCAGCAGGGACGAAGCGUAAGUGACGGUACCUGCAGAAGAAGCGCCGGCCAACUACGUG